AAAAAAUCAGAGGUCUGUACUUUUCUCCUCCGAGUUGGCCUCUCAUAACCUUCAGGGAAAUUAUGUGCACCAUUAAUGGGUGAACCUUUGUAAACUAUACUUGUGAAUAAAUGUUCAAUAAAUGUUGCGACAUUA
rnacentral:snoRNA from 1 species